CACUCCUACUACCACUACCACCCACCACUACCAUCGCCGACAACAGAAUAAACCCGCAUAAACCAAUACAAGACAUGUUCUUGUUUUUGUUGAUAGGUUUUCCUUGUGAAAUUCCACCGCAGUUUAAACUAGAUCUGUUUUCUACUUUUAUUGGCACCAGAAAAGGGGAAAUCUUGCAAUUUUCUUCUCCUGGUGUGGAAUCUAAUGGCGUCUUGUGUCUGAUGAUCACAAGCAAUUUUGGCUAUUUGUGCUGUAAAUUUUCACAGAAACAUCAC
rnacentral:lncRNA from 1 species